ACGAGGCUAAGAUCUUUGGCAAUAAAUACAUUCCGAAGACCUGCAUCAGUGCCCUGCUUGCAGAGUGUGGCAGAGAAGCUAAGCAUCUCAAACUCGGCAUUACAGACCUGAGAAGGCUGUAAGACUCUCUGGUCCAUCAUCACACGGGAGGAAUAUAAAUCCUCAGAGCUGUGCUGGGCAGCAUGUUAGCUGCUAGCCACACAUGGCUGCUGGACACUUGAAAUGUUGCUAGUCUGAAUUGUGCUGUGCUGUAAAUGCAAUUCACACCAGAUUUCAAAGAGUGCAGAAACUGAGUUUCAAGUAGAUCCAGCAACUUGCCCAAGUCGUAAAACCAGAAAGAGUGGAGCCGAGAAUCAAAGCUUGGAUGCCUGACCAGAGUGGACCUUUGAAACACUCCUCUGUAUAUUGUCUUCAGGCUGCCUGUAUUUACAAACUCUGAUAUUGACCUCAUUACUUCUCCCCGUUCUGCAGGCAGAAGACUGCUAUGAGAGCACUUAGGACCCAAGCGACAUCAGCCUUGGAACAGGC
rnacentral:lncRNA from 1 species